GACGAACGCUGGCGGCGUGCUUAACACAUGCAAGUCGAACGAAGAGCCACGGAAGCUUGUUCUCAUCUAUCUUAGUGGCGAGCGGGUGAGUAACGCGUAAUCCACCUCUCCUUCAGAGGGGGACAACAGUUGGAAACGACCGCUAAUACCAUAUUCGAUCUAACCUCGGCAUCGAGGAUAGAUGAAAGGUGGCCUCUACAUGUAAGCUAUCACUCAAGGAGGGGAUUGCGUCUGAUUAGCUAGUUGGGGGGGUAACGGGCCACCAAGGGGAUGAACGGUAGCCGGACGGAGAGGAGGGACGGCCACAUUGGGACUGGAACACGGCCCAGACUCCUAAGGGAGGGAGCAGUGGGGGAUCUUCCGCAAUGGAGGGAAGUCUGGCGGAACAACGCCGCGUGGGUGGUGGCAGCCUUCCGGUUGGGAAGCUCGGUUUAUCGGGGCGAAACGCCUUCUUGCGAAUAGGGGGAAGGAUUGACGGUACCGGAAUAGAAAGCCACGGCUAACUACGUG
rnacentral:rRNA from 1 species